rnacentral:rRNA from 1 species
UGGGGAAUUUUGCACAAUGGGGGAAACCCUGAUGCAGCGACGCCGCGUGAUUUAGAAGGCCUUCGGGUUGUAAAAAUCUUUUUUAUGGGAUGAAAAUGACAGUACCAUAAGAAUAAGGUCCGGCUAAAUACGUGCCAGCAGCCGCGGUAAUACGUAUGGACCGAGCGUUGUCCGGAAUCAUUGGGCGUAAAGGGUACGUAGGCGGCCCAGUAAGUUAGAAGUGAAAUAAUAUAGCUCAACUAUAUAAAGCUUUUAAAACUGCUAGGCUUGAGAGAUGGAAGGGAAAGUGGAAUUCCUAGUGUAGCGGUGAAAUGCGCAGAUAUUAGGAGGAAGACCGGUGGCGAAGGCGACUUUCUGGCCAUAUACUGACGCUGAGGUACGAAAGCGUGGGUAGCAAACAGG